CUCCCAUGCUUCUGUCACCUCCCUGCUACUGUCCACCCAUGCUACUGUCGCCUCCCAUGCUACUGUCACCCCCAUGCUACUGUCACCUCCCAUGCUACUGUCACCUCCCAUGCUACUGUCACUCCCUGCCUGCUACUGUUCACCUCCCAUGCUACUGUCACCCCCAUGCUGUCACCUCCCAUGCUACUGUCAAUCCCUGCUACUGUUCACCUCCCAUUGCUCCUGUUACCUCCCAUGUUACUGUCACUCCCAUGCUCUGUCAACUCCCCUGCUACUGUCACCUCCCCUGCUACUGUCCCCUCCCAUGCUACUGUCACUCCCAUGUUACUGUCACCUCCAUGCUACUGUCACCUCCCAUGUACUGUCACCUCCCAUCUUACUGUCCCCUCCCAUG
rnacentral:lncRNA from 1 species